CCUCAAUUCAAAAUUCGACAGAUGUAUUUAUAAAUUAUUUUAUAUAAAAUUACAUAGUGACAGAGUUUAAUAAGCAGAAAUUACAGGAGUUAAAUGGAGACAUAGCCAUACACACAUAAUCAUGUAGAGAAUAAAGAAGGAGAGAGGUAUAAUUAAAAUUAUCAACAAGUUAGACCUGAUAUUUCCCAAAUGUCAUUUCAAAAACAUCACUUCUAUUUUUUCUCAAAAACCAAUCACAUCCCCAUCUUACCAAAUUUUUCCUCAUACAAAAUCCAUAGCAACUUUAUGUAACUUGAUAAUUUAAAUAUCAUGCACUCCUAUGAAAAGAGAAUUAGUGGAAGCUUGAGUCAUCUUCUAAUAUAGGGAAAUUUGGAGUUGUUCUAAAGCAAGGAUGCCAUCUCUUCUUCAUUCAGAGAAAAUAUAUUCUACCCAUUUUGAAACUAGUAGUCAAAAUACAAACACAGAUUUAUUCCAAUGAGGAAAGAAUAGGCGGGGCAUGUGACUCACAUCUGUAAUCCCAGCAAUUUGGGAGGCGAAGGCAAGAGGAUCACUAUAGCCCAGGAGUUCAAGACCAGCCUUAGGCAAUAGAGGAAGACCCUCUCUCUGUAAGAAAAAAAAAAAAAGGAGAAAGAAUAAAAUGCCUUCUAUUUCAGCCUUGUCUUGUCCUCGAUUAUUCAGGGCAUCUUUCAAUACAUUUCUAUUGGUUGGUGCAAAAGUAAUAGCGGUUUUUGCCAUUGAAAAUAAUGGCAAAUUGAAAGUAAUUUGCCAUUACUUUCUAUGGCUAUUACUUUCGCAGCAAACUAAUACUAAAAGCUUCAAUUCUUCUAAAAAAUAAAAAUGGAUAUGUGCUAAUGACUGAUUACAUGCUAACACUGCCUACUAAGGUACUGCCCAAAAGUAGACAAAAAAUAAAAAAUAAAAAUAAAAAUAACCUAAAAUAAACUAUUUUAAAUGUGUCUCUUUUCAUCCUGGGGGUACAUCAAUCAUAAAUCUUACAGCACUGAACAACUAGGUCACAAUUUUCAUAUAAUAUGGCUAAAAUAUAUUCUCAACUAUUUUGCGGCAUGCAAAAUGCAGCAUGAAAUAGCUUCAGAACUAUGAACAAUAUGUUAAUCAUACGUUUUCGUCCAAGAGAUAAGGAAGCACCCUAUAUUUCCAUAUGCCCAAGAUACAUGCUUGAAAGUUAUUUUUUUCAAAGAAAAAACAUUUUAAAGUUUUGUAUCUCAAUUAACAAUGUGCUUUAAUUUAUGUGAUGGAAAGUAGCUUUGUAAAAAUAAUUUGAUAGAAAUAGAUGUUGAAUGGACAAUCUCAAACAACUGAAACAAAAUAAAUAGUUUAAUAAAGUCUUCAAGGCAAAAUGUUCAUAUGGGCAGCGUGCGAGGGAGAAGAACCUGUAAUGAAUUAAGUUUAAUAUUAUUUGUAUUUUAUAUUGUCUUUACCUAAAAUGUUUAUUUUUGCACCUUAAUAUUAUUAGCAAUUGCAUAUACUGUUUAAUUAUGCAAACACUGUUGUUAAAAAUUCUCUGUUUAGGAAUAUUAAAUGUGUUUUCAUUGCUUAUUAGGUUUUUUAAUGCUAGGGUAUACCGUGUUUAUAGUUUAACUAUAUUGUUCUAAUGUUUGAAACAUUGUGCCUUUAUAUAACUACACAAAAUUUAAUGCAAAUAAUAAACUAGUAGAUAUUCUUAACUAUUGAAAGCUAUUUAGAAUAUUACUGCUGAAGGGAAGAAAUUGACUUCCUUUUCACUUAAUGCUGGUAGCUGGUAUUAACAUAAACACAUGUUGAUUUAGUGAAAUACUAAUUCUAUCUUUAGAAAUGUACCUUUUAUUGCACUAAAGAAGCUAUAAAGGGCCUUUUUGAGUUUUAAUGAGCCAAGACAAAUAUAGUUUGAUCUUUCUGACUUAAAACCAUAUAUAAUUUUUAACUUGAAGGAAUAAAAACACUUUAAGUCUACAUUUAGCUUUAUUUCUCCGAGUACCAUAUUUGUAACUGAUAAUUCAAAAAGUGACCUACAUUUUCCUGGAGAUUGCAAAAUAAAUGUCAUACCUCUGUGCAUAUUAAUGUGAUUGUUCUGCAUUUUAAAAAAAUCAAGUUAAAUUCUGUACUCAUGGUUUAGAUUGAUUUCCCACCAGGUGAAGGAAAUAAAGUAUAAUCACUGCCUUUGAUUAAAUGAAGCAAAUAGCAAUGACGAUGUGCUAAUGUAUAAAAAUUGACAGCAGUAAAAAAAACUCCAAUAACAUAUAUUUGGCAAAGCAUGACCAGUACAUAUGAAAUUCCUUUCCACUUUCACUCACUAAAAACAAGUGAAAUAAUUCUCACUGUAGUCUAUCUACAUGAGAUAAUACUGAGAGAAAAGUUUAUUUUUAUAACAACUUUGUUAAUUGCAUUUAAAUUGCAUUAAAUCAUAACAGAUUAUUUAACGAAGUCCUGAUUGGUCCUGUGAAGGUUUUAGACAUACUAGUAGUCUCUAUAUUCAUCUCAUAAAGCUAUCAUUAAAUUAUGACUGUUUUAUUGAAGUUUACUUUAAUAGAAAGAUACAAUAUCUAUAUUUGUGUCUACAUUCUUUCAAUUAAUAUAAUAUCUGGGAGUAUCAUCCAUGUUCUUGUAUGCAGCUGUAGUUGGUUCAAUUUUCAUUGUUGAGUUUUCCAUUGUCUUUAUAUAUGGCAAUUUAUUUAUCCAUUCUACUCUUGAUGGGCAUUUGAGUUUUUGUCAGUUUGGUAUGAUUAUAGAAAAAUUCUGUAAUAAACUUACUUGUACUAUUUCUUUGUCACUUGUGCCUGUAUUUCUCUUGGAAAUACAGCUAGAGGUGGAACUCCUGUGUCAGAUUAUGCAUACAUUCAAUUUUAGAGUUAACAGUAAAUGGUUUCCUAAAGUAGUUGUACCAAUUUAUACUCCCAAAUGCCUCUAAUGUAUAAGGAUUUCAAUUGCUUUACAUUUUCAUCACUACUUGGUACCCAAGGCCUUUUUAAUUGUAAACAUUCUAGAUGAAAUUUUUGUAUAAUGUGUAGUGGCAUUGUUUUUUCAGUUUUAUUUUUUAUUUUCUUAAAUUCAAAUGUAUUAAACAACUUUUCAUGUCUUUUUGACUAUAUGAAUAUGCUUUUUUAUAAAGUACCUCUUCAAAUUUUUUGUUUAUUUUUCUUUUGGGCUUUCUAUUUUAUUGAUUGCAGUUCUUAAUCUAGCUUAAUGCAUUACAAGCUUCCACUUGACCACUUACUUUUCACUCUUUUCUAAAGUUAGAAUAAAGAGAUAUUAAUAAAAUGAAUUAUUGAAUUACUCUUUGAUGAAAAUUAAUAACUCAUCAAAGAGUUAUUAAUUUUGAUAACUCAAUUCAUUAAUAUUUCUUUAUGGAACUCAAGUUAGUGAUAUUCUCUACACUAAUUAACAAAAGAUUGCUGUUUUUCCUCUCACAACUAGAUCAGUAAGUAGAUCUGGAACUGUUUUUGUAUGUGAUAGGAAGGAGGGGGUUAAUAUAAUUUUUCUAGGUGGACAUCAAAUGGUCCUAGCAUUGAUAUUGAAAAGACAAGCCUUUUCUCCACUUCUUUGCAAUGCUGAAUUCUUAAUCAAAUGUUCAAACAUGCAUUGGUCAGCUUCUACCCUCUCCAUUCUGUCAUUUAUCUGUUUGCUUAUCUUUGGUCCAAUAGCAAAGCCUAAAUAACUAGAAUUUAUAAUAAAGCUCCCAGCAUCUUGUUCUUCUUUACCUCAUAUUCUUCAGUAGUGUCUUUGGUAUUCUUGAUCCUUUGCAUUUCCAUGUAAAACUUUGAACAGGAUUGACAGAUUCAGGGGAAAAAAAAUUCCAUCACCUAUAAUCUACAAAUCAAUCUGAAUUUGGGGAGAAUAGACAUUAAAGCAAUCUAAUCCAGGAACACAGCGUAGU
rnacentral:lncRNA from 1 species